rnacentral:lncRNA from 1 species
GUCGCUUUUCUCUGAUUGCAGCGAGAGCAGGUGGUGCUUUCUUGCACUGUGAGAAGCACAGUCUGUUUCUUUGAUUUCAGAUGGGCUCCACAACUCGGGAGGGCGCUCAUCUCUCAGUCCUCUCUCUGCUGAGCAGUUACUGGGCCUAUCUUUCUCUCGAUGGAUAACAACCCUUGCGUUGCGGUUGCUAGAAGGCGGGACAUCUCUGCCUGGAAUAGGGCACCGUGGGAUGAAGGCUAUUAGGAGGAGAGUGGUCCUUGAGAAAGACCUAUCAUGAGAAGAAAGGAACAUCCAGCCAGGCAUGGUGGAUUUUCGUCCCUUUAAUCCCAAUGCU